AGAGUUUGAUCCUGGCUCAGAACGAACGCUGGCGGCGUGCCUAACACAUGCAAGUCGAACGAAGGCCCUAGCUUGCUAGGUGUCCUUAGUGGCGGACGGGUGAGUAACGCGUGGGAAUCUGCCCAAGUGUGGGGGACAACCAUUGGAAACGAUGGCUAAUACCGCAUACGCCCUUCGGGGGGAAAGGCUUCGGCCGCACAUGGAUGAGCCCGCGUCAGAUUAGGUUGUUGGUGGGGUAACGGCCUACCAAGCCUACGAUCUGUAGCUGGUCUGAGAGGACGAUCAGCCACACUGGGACUGAGACACGGCCCAGACUCCUACGGGAGGCAGCAGUGGGGAAUUUUGCACAAUGGGGGAAACCCUGAUGCAGCAACGCCGCGUGAGUGAUGAAGGCCCUAGGGUUGUAAAGCUCUUUCAGCAGGGAAGAUGAUGACGUACCUGCAGAAGAAGCCCCGCUAACU
rnacentral:rRNA from 1 species